rnacentral:rRNA from 1 species
GUAUUAAAGGUGUUGCCUGCCCAGUGAAAUAUUUUCAACGGCCGCGGUAUCCUAACCGUGCAAAGGUAGCGUAAUCACUUGUCUUUUAAAUAAAGACUCGUAUGAAAGGCUAAAUGAGGACGAAACUGUCUCUUAUGGUUAACCAGUAAAACUGAUCUUCAAGUACAAAAGCUUGAAUAAACACAUAAGACGAGAAGACCCUGUGGAGCUUAAAACUGACACUAUCUCAACAAAUUAUAGCUAUAAGUUUUAAGUUGGGGCGACUUCGGAACAAAACAAAACUUCCGAGCACAGAGCCAAUCACUCUAACCCUAGACCCACAAGUCAAAGAACAACAAUUGACCCAGUCAUACUGAGCAACGAACCAAGUUACCCCAGGGAUAACAGCGCCAUCUUCUUCAAGAGUCCAUAUCGACAAGAAGGUUUACGACCUCGAUGUUGGAUCAGGACACCCAAAUGGUGCAGCAG